AUCCAACUAGAAAACUAGAAACAUAAUCUGUUGUGUUGACUCCAUAGGUCUUGCUUCCCCUCAACCCAGACACCGACUCGCCCAAGGGUCUUCCAGCUGGCUGAGUUGGAACCUGCAUUUUUUAACCACAAGGAAAAGAAGCCCAGAGCUACCAAGAAUAAUAUUUUAUUGACUUGGAAUGAGUUUUGGAAUCUGUAUUUUUAACAAGCUGCCCAGUGAAAACCAUUUCCUCCUCGUCGUGGCGCAGGUCCAGAGGCUGCGCCCAUCUCUCCCACGUCAACAGUCCUGUGUCCUUGGCGAAGGACUGUUCUCUCAUUCAGUGCCUUUCCUCUCUUCCUGGGCCAAAUCCCUGCUUUGCGUCUCCCUGCAGCUCAUAAAAAGCUGAAUUACCUGAGGCAGGGAAAGCCCCACCCACUGUCAUUCUCAGGGAGGAGUGGAGUCUGCAGAGGCCGCAAUGCACAGCUUCCCUAUCCCCCUCCACCCGUGUUUUCCCAGAGCAGCUCUGUUCCAGGCCCGGGGGUGUCCCUGGGCCGAGAUGGAAUCCAGCCCUGACCACCUCCCAAAGCCAACAGCCCUGAGUGAGCGUGCAGAGAAGCAAGAGCUGUUCCUGAUGCAGAGCAAAGACAUCUCCCAGUCAAGGGGGAUGAACUGAUUUGGGACAAAAGGCAGUUGUUGGCUGAGGAAGGCAGGAUCUGGGGGAGCCCUGUGCUGAGUGGAGGUGGGUGGGUGUAUUUCCUUGGCUCACAGAGGCCUCUUGUCUGGUGGGAUCAGCUCCUCCAGCCAGUUGCCACCUGGUCCAGCUUUGGGAGAUGUGGAGAAUGACUUUCGCAGUGAUUUCCACUGGGCCAUGGCAUUGAAACAGCUGCAGGAGGGGACACAGCUGGUGCCACCCCUACUCCGUCCAUUAGAGCUGCUGUGAAGGAAUGCCACCCUCCCCAUGGGGAGUGAGGGGGCCCUACUUGCUGUGACGGUUGAGCCCAUAGAACAGGAGUGAGAAGAUGGAAGGGCGAGGGGGCUGGGAUGAUGAAAACUUGCGCCUGCAGCCACCAUUCAUUACAGAGCGCCGGGGGCCAGCUGCAGAACUGUAGACUCCUCAUACAUCAUCGUGUUGAGUCUUCAAAACAAACCUAUGAGGCUGGAGUGCAGCAGCGCGAUCUCGGCUCACUGCAACUUCCACCUCCUGGUUUCAAGCAAUUCUCCCGCCUCAGCCUCCCGAGUAGCUGGGAUUACAAGCACCCGCCACCAUGCCCGGCUAAUUUUUAUAUUUUUAGCAGAGGCGGGAUUUCUCCAUGUAGCCCAGGCCGGUCUCGAACUCCUGACCUCAAGUGAUCCACCCACCUCAGCCUCCCAAAGUGCUGGGAUUACAGGUGUGAGCCACCAUGCCCCGCCAGCCAUCAGAGUUUUAUAGCAAGAAUUUUUACCUUUGUCCUUAGUGCAAUGGGAAAUCCUUGAAACGCUAUUAUUGCCUUCCUCUGCAAGGAAAGGUUAUUUUGGUGAGCAGUGGAUAGAGGAAAUGCAGAGGGAGCCACUAAAGGGUUCUGGUGAGAUCUGGAGCCCUGCUGGGAUAAUCUGACCAGAGAAAGCAAAGAUUCCAGAGAGCUAGGCACACUUGCCCUACCUCCAGCUGCACACAGCUGGUUCCAGCUUUGUCCUGACCUUCAGUCUGGCAUACAGGGUAGACCCACUGGUACCUGGUACCUCACUCUGGGGGUGAGGUGGCCACCCACCUAGGUCUGGGUCCUGUAGCAGUUUGGCAGCAACAUCUGGGUGAUAAGAGAAGGCGAUUUGACCUACUCCCAGGGACAAGAAGCUUUGACUCUUCAAGAUCAUAAAGUCUUCCCUCCUGGCCUUGGGUCCUCCUGUUGCGGGAGAGGUGAGGUGGGGUGAGGGUCCUCCGGGAGGGCAGGCUUGGCAGAGCCCAGCACCAUCUCAGCAGACACUGCUCUUCUCCUACUCUCAGCACCUCCAAGGCAGUGAGUGGCUUUCUCUUGUCUAGAGGACAAAAUCCGUUCCUCACCUGGACACAAUGAACCUGUCUGUGGGAUUUAGGGAGCAUCAAGGAGGGAAUUUAGUUUCCGCAGACUUCAAGGAAGACUUUCUGGAGGAGGUGAUGCCUGAGAGCUAUCCAGGAGAGAAGAGUGAAAAAAUGUUAAGCAGUGGAAAAACAUGAACCAAACUGUGGCUGCAUCUUCCCAUAGGGCAACAGGGACUUAGCGCGUGCAAUCAAGGAUCUCCAGAUGGGGAUAACCCAGGUGUGCCCAACCUAAUCUCAGUGUCCUUGGAAGAGGGAUGCAGAAGGAGUCAGAAUCAGAGAAGAAGGUGACACGAUGAAGGAAUCCGAAAUUAGAGUGAUGCUCUUUGAAGAUGGAGGAAGGGACCACAAGCUGAGAAAUAGAGGUGGCCACUAGACACUGAAAAAGGCAAGGAAGUGGAUUCUCCCCUGGAGCCUCCAGAAGGAACCAGCUCUGCCGACACCUUGACAUUAGCCCAUUGAGACUGAUUUAAGGGCUGCUGGCCUCCAGAAUUGUAAGAGAAUAAACGUGUGUUGUUUAAGGCCCUUGGUUAGUAGCGAUUUGCUACAGCAGCUGCAGAAACCUAAUAAGUAUAGGUUCCACCUAGAGACGCAGAACUAGCCAGCGGCCGAUCCUGCUCCGGGACCCUGCAGGCCCCAGCUCUA
rnacentral:lncRNA from 1 species